UACAGAGGGGGCGAGCGUUGUUCGGAAUUACUGGGCGUAAAGGGCGCGUAGGCGGCCUUCUAAGUCGGACGUGAAAUCCCCGGGCUCAACCCGGGAACUGCGUCCGAUACUGGGAGGCUUGAAUCCGGGAGAGGGAUGUGGAAUUCCAGGUGUAGCGGUGAAAUGCGUAGAUAUCUGGAGGAACACCGGUGGCGAAGGCGGCAUCCUGGACCGGUAUUGACGCUGAGGAGCGAAAGCCAGGGGAGCAAACGGG
rnacentral:rRNA from 1 species